rnacentral:rRNA from 1 species
GAUGAACGCUGGCGGCGUGCCUAAUACAUGCAAGUCGAGCGAACGGACGAGAAGCUUGCUUCUCUGAUGUUAGCGGCGGACGGGUGAGUAACACGUGGAUAACCUACCUAUAAGACUGGGAUCACUUCGGGAAACCGGAGCUAAUACCGGCUGAUAUUUUGAACCGCAUGGUUCACAAGUGAAAGACGGUCUUGCUGUCACUUAUAGAUGGAUCCGCGCUGCAUUAGCUAGUUGGUAAGGUAACGGCUUACCAAGGCAACGAUGCAUAGCCGACCUGAGAGGGGGAUCGGCCACACUGGAACUGAGACACGGUCCAGACUCCUACGGGAGGCAGCAGUAGGGAAUCUUCCGCAAUGGGCGAAAGCCUGACGGAGCAACGCCGCGUGAGUGAUGAAGGUCUUCGGAUCGUAAAACUCUGUUAUUAGGGAAGAACAUAUGUGUAAGUAACUGUGCACAUCUUGACGGUACCUAAUCAGAAAGCCACGGCUAACUACGUG